UUGUGUAGAAGAUUUUUAUUAAUAAGAUUUUCUAUAAUCAAUGUGAAUUUAGCCAUAUAUGUCUAUAGUUAUUAUUCCAUUAUAAUCCUAUGGUUGUAGUAUAUGAAGAAAGAUGCCUACGUGACCAGAAUGUCCAGACCCAGAUGAGAAACAUCUGGGGAGACCAACAAAAGGGCCUUUCUCCUUACCAGACCAAAUAGGGGGCCCCUUCUCUCUAGGGAUCGAAUUGAGAAAAGGAAAGAGCCCAGAGAGGAAUUGGAGACUGCCUGUCCAGUUGUUCCAGGUGACCAAGUAUAUCUGAGGGUAUUCCGGAGAAAGUGGAAUGAGCCCAGGAGAGAAGGAACCUACAAAGUGGUGAGAGCUACUCCAACAGCAGUCCAAGUGGAGGGAAGCACAACCUGGUAUCAUCUAAACCACUGUACUAGAGUUCCCACGGGAAAGGCAGAAAGAAAAGAAAACAGACAACCAGACGAUGCAGGAGAAAGUAACGAGGAAAGAUCAGAGACACAUGAUGAAGUGCAAACUGACGAGAGCACAAAGAAAGAUCCACAAGGAGCUCCUUUCCUUCUGUCAGACGAAAUGGAGAGGACAGAGAAUGACUCUGACAACAUAUCUGAAGACCAUCCUAUGCCUAAUGCAUUUAAUAAUGCAAACCCAAACUCAACCAAUGGAAAGCAAUCUGACUUCCCUUCAAUUGACUUUUCAACCUUUGAACAAAAGUGACAAUGAUAUCAAUCCAACAGAACCAACGAUAAUCAAAAAUCGUAGAAACACUGAUUAUGAUGUACAAGGUGAUGAAGACAUUAAUCAUAUUGAUGCAUUAUGGGAUACAGCCCAAAAUAAUGAAUGGUAUAAAUGGGCAGCCUUUACUGCUAGAGAAACAGGAAAAGAAAAUUGCUUGCUGUGCUCCAAAUCUCCGUUAAACAAAGUAACAGCCAUACCAAAUCCAUAUGACUACCAAGAAUGUGCCAAAUUUGGGAGAAACUUUUGUCAUUUAACAGAUUUUACCAGACCAUAUUGUUUUUCUGAAUGUCUAGGAUUUUUGGGAAAUCCUAAAUUAACAGAUUAUUUUUUAGACCACUCUGGGGAUCUUGGUGUCAGUAUUCAGAUGUUAGCCAAAAUAUAAAAAUUGAAAAACGAAAGUAGAGAUUCCAAAAUUGUAUAGCAUAGAUUAUAAACAGGAAUAUCAGUGUUUCCAUAAACCAAAAGGAACACAAGAUGUGGGCAAAUUUAAAAGAAAAUGUGCUAUUAUUUGGUACAUAGAUAAGAAAAAUUCUUGGAAAUCAGGAAUUCCUUCUAGAGCUCCAGAACUGUUAGCACUUGGAACAACUAACGGAAGUAAAAUAACGCCUAAAGAAUGUGAAAAUCAAACUAUUGCAUUACCUUCAAUAGAAAUUUAUGAAGACCAAUCAUUAAUAAUAGCAGAUUUCUUUUGGAUCUGUGGAGGUGAGAUAUUACUGCCUUCUUUACCAGUAGGAUGGAAAGGUAUAUGUGUAAGAGUACGAUUACUUCAAGAAGUUAACAUGGCACAACAGGGAACAGAAGCAAGCACAAGUAGGGAAGACAACAGAAUUAAAAGAGGUUACGAGACAGACCCAAAUGUAUAGUUAGACUCAAUUGGGCAACCGAGAGGAAUUCCUAAUGAAUUCAAGGCAAGAGAUGAAAUAAAAACAGGUUUUGAGUCAAUAUUUGUUUGGAUCACACCAAACAAAAAUGCAGAGUGGAUUAAUUACAUUUAUUAUAAUCAACAAAGAUUCAUUAACUAUACUGAUGAUGCGUUAACCUUGUUAGAAGACCAAGUACACGCAACAAGUAGAAUGACAUGGCAAAACAGACAGGCUCUUAAUUGGCCUUUGGCGGAAAAGGGAGGAGUCUCUGUGUUAUGUUCGGAGAUCAAUGUUGUACUUUUAUACCAAAUAAUACUGCCCCUGGGGGAGCUUUUAGUGAAGUUAUGACAAAAAUUAAAAAAUUAAGAGCUGAAGUUACAACAAAUGCCAGAAGAGACAAACAAAUUUGGGAUUGGAUUGAUUUGAAAUUUGGAGCAUGGGGAGCAUGGUUUGCUAAACUGGGAAUGUUUUUUGGGAGUUGCUGUACUAGUAGGAGGAUUGUUAUUUUGUUGUGUAUUACCUAUAUUAAUAACAUUAAUCGUCAACGCUACGGCUAAGCAAAUGGAAGUGAUAAAAGUCCCAAAUAAUCAACAAAUUAUCACCGAGAGGAGCCUAAAGGAAUAUUAUGAAGGAUGGCUAAACAAACUGAACUUAAAUGAACAAACUUUUGAUGAUAGUUCAAGUGACUCUAAUAAGGACGAUGAAGAGGUCUAAAGAUGAACCAUACCCUGGGUGUAAGUGUUAGCCUAACUUCUGCCCAGGGUGGCCCUCUACGAUACAUAGAGUAUCUGGGCUGAAGAUCAAUUAUUAUAAUCUUGUGAUAUUCAAUGGGUUAUGUUUUGUAUGUAUUUUUUAUGUCCUUUAUACACAACUGUGACAACCACAGGCAAGUGCUGAACCAAUUACACGCUCACGCUUAUAACAUUGUUUUCUAUUAAAGAAAGGGUUUAGGGAGGCUGGAUCUUUUACUCCCUCCUAGUCAACUGAGGAAGGAGAUGUUUGGUCCUGUUGCUCCCCAGAGUGAAAUUACAUAAUCUAGUCAUUGGUAAUAAUACAGUGUGACUUAUUUAGUCACUAGGUAGUGUUAACUAAUAAGACUGGAUUAUGGAGUAGCACUCUGAAUAAAAAUAAUCAAAUAUGAGACUUACUAAGUCUCAGAGGGGGGAAAUGUAGAAGAUUUUUAUUAAUAAGAUUUUCUAUAAUCAAUGUGAAUUUAGCCAUAUAUGUCUAUAGUUAUUAUUCCAUUAUAAUCCUAUGGUUGUAGUAUAUGAAGAAAGAUGCCUACGUGACCAGAAUGUCCAGACCCAGAUGAGAAACAUCUGGGGAGACCAACAAAAGGGCCUUUCUCCUUACCAGACCAAAUAGGGGGCCCCUUCUCUCUAGGGAUCGAAUUGUAAGCCUAAGGAAAAUUAUGGAAUAUUGGGAACGCCCUGUAUAUGGUAUAUAAGGAGAUACCACAUAACAUUCUGGAGAUCUUCUCGCAGAGAACAUCUCGGCUUCGUUUCUCUCUGAAAUAAAGUCUAUCUUCUGGAAACAAAACCCCAAGACUGAGUGUGAUCCCUCAGAUCCAUGGCAGCAGACACGAC
ensembl:lncRNA